rnacentral:rRNA from 1 species
UACAGAGGGGGCAAGCGUUAUUCGGAAUUACUGGGCGUAAAGGGCGCGUAGGCGGCCUACUAAGUCAGACGUGAAAUCCCUCGGCUUAACCGGGGAACUGCGUCUGAUACUGGAUGGCUUGAGUUUGGGAGAGGGAUGCGGAAUUCCAGGUGUAGCGGUGAAAUGCGUAGAUAUCUGGAGGAACACCGGUAGCGAAGGCGGCAUCCUGGACCAACACUGACACUGAGGAGCGAAAGCCAGGGGAGCAAACGGG